rnacentral:rRNA from 1 species
UACGAAGGGGGCUAGCGUUGUUCGGAUUUACUGGGCGUAAAGCGCGUGUAGGCGGAUCGUUAAGUCGGGGGUGAAAGCCCAGAGCUCAACUCUGGAAUUGCCUUCGAUACUGGCGGUCUGGAGCAGAGAAGAGGCGAGUGGAAUUCCGAGUGUAGAGGUGAAAUUCGUAGAUAUUCGGAGGAACACCAGUGGCGAAGGUGGCUCGCGGGUCUCUUGUUGACGCUGAGACGCGAAAGCGUGGGGAGCAAACAGG